AUUUAUUCCCUGAAGUCUGAUAGAUCUUUUGAAGAACCGAUCCAUCGGA
rnacentral:tRNA from 1 species